UGUUCGACCAUAGAUUUGAUCCCAUCACGCCGCUUGGCCGCUACAUUACGCGGCACAAGCAACUGGCGAACCCUAAACCCCGACCCCUACCUCUCUUCCCUGCGGCGCUCUCGCUUUCUUCCUCUUCUCCACCUCUCUCUAUAUAUUGAUGGACGAGGCUCUUGAAACAGAGUCAAACAGCAGGCGCCUCUUGUAAUCCUUGGCGAUAUCCCUGUCUGCCGCAUGGAGCCGACAUCAGACCGCCAGGCGAAGAUUGCUUGGAUUCCUCAUCUCGUCAGUCCAACGCCACAAUACCUGGCCAUAUCUUCUCACAUCCAAAAACCACACUUUUCUUGAUCUUUCCUUGAUGUUUAUGUAGUUUGUAAGUUCAUGAAUAUAUAUCAAUCAGUCUUAUAAAUGGCACUAAUUCAGACAACGGGUGCUUUGUUGCUCGGAUAACAAGCCACCUUUUGCAUAGUGCCUACAGAGAGAUCCACCAGCGUGAGGCUGCCACACGAUUGUGGGGCGUGUUCAGCUCGUUGGCCCCCUGCAAAUUUAAGGCUGCCACAUUUAUCUGAUAAGUGAUCGUUGGAUGGAUCUCAGUUUUCUUCGUGCUUUCUCUUUUUAUCUCUAUUUUUCAGUCAUUGCUACUGUUUUCACUGUUAUUGAUUUUAUUUUUCUGUUAGUAUUUGGUUCUCAUGGCCUUUUUGCUUAUUGUUUUUGACGUGAUGGUCUAUAUCAUCACCCUUUACCCACUUUUCUUCUUAGUUUUGUUGAGUAUAGAGAUUAAUCAACUGAAUAAUUUUUUCAUCAUGUAUCUCAGAGUGUUGAAAAUAUUUUUUUUAAAGAUCAGAUGUUAAUUCUAAGCAGAUUAAUUUGUGCUGAGUCAUUUCAGGGUUAUUUUCCCUGAGCUUGGAUUCAAGUUCGAUAUAUAUUCGUAGAUGUGUUAGUACUUCUCUCCUGCUCUGAGCAUGGAAACCAUGAAAAAAAGGAGAACUUUGACCGAAGAACGUCAGUGGUAGAGGGAUUGCUUUGGACGAAACAAAUUAUAGUAGAUUAAGUUAUCGUUCAUGUUGGUUGAUUAGUUAAUGUUCAGAUGAUACCAAUGUUUUCUUGUAUUUGGAAUGAAUCCAGCAGAUGCCAUCAGUAAAUCUUUUAAAACAUUGUGCAUUA